UUAUAUAGAAGUCGUAACAAGGUCUCCGUUGGUGAACCAGCGGAGGGAUCAUUACCGAGUUUACAACUCCCAAACCCAAUGUGAACGUUACCAAACUGUUGCCUCGGCGGGAUCUCUGCCCCGGGUGCGUCGCAGCCCCGGACCAAGGCGCCCGCCGGAGGACCAACCAAAACUCUUAUUGUAUACCCCCUCGCGGGUUUUUUUAUAAUCUGAGCCUUCUCGGCGCCUCUCGUAGGCGUUUCGAAAAUGAAUCAAAACUUUCAACAACGGAUCUCUUGGUUCUGGCAUCGAUGAAGAACGCAGCGAAAUGCGAUAAGUAAUGUGAAUUGCAGAAUUCAGUGAAUCAUCGAAUCUUUGAACGCACAUUGCGCCCGCCAGUAUUCUGGCGGGCAUGCCUGUCCAAGCGUCAUUUCAACCCUCGAACCCCUCCGGGGGGUCGGCGUUGGGGAUCGGCCCUCCCUUAGCGGGUGGCCGUCUCCGAAAUACAGUGGCGGUCUCGCCGCAGCCUCUCCUGCGCAGUAGUUUGCACACUCGCAUCGGGAGCGCGGCGCGUCCACAGCCGUUAAACACCCAACUUCUGAAAUGUGACCUCGGAUCAGGUAGGAAUACCCGC
rnacentral:rRNA from 1 species